UACAGAGGGUGCGAGCGUUGUCCGGAAUCACUGGGCGUAAAGGGCGCGUAGGUGGCGCGACAAGUCAGUGGUGAAAGUUCGACGCUCAACGUCGAAUCGGCCACUGAUACUGUUGGGCUUGAGCACUGUAGAGGCUAAUGGAAUUCCGGGUGUAGCGGUGGAAUGCGUAGAGAUCCGGAAGAACACCGGUGGCGAGGCGGUUAGCUGGGCAGUUGCUGACACUGAGGCGCGACAGCGUGGGGAGCAACAG
rnacentral:rRNA from 1 species